GUUGGCUGAGCUCUUCCCCACCCACAAAGGAGGCUGCAGAAGGCGCCAGGGCUGCUGGAGCUGGAGCCAGGGGAAGUCGGCUGCUGGUUUCCAUGGUGAUGGCGCUGGACUGGUGGGCUGAACCGGCUGACAGGGUCGGGGACAGAAGGAAGAGCAGGUUUCUCACGGCAUGUCAGCCCAGGGCUCCCACAUGUGGCCUCCCACCCUCAUCUUCACACAUUCUCACACCUUCCGGAGUACAGAGGCGAGUGGGGUGCAGAUGGUCCUCCCUACAUCGGGUGAGACUGAUAGAGACAGAACGGGGGAGGGUAUGACAGAGAUCCAGCCACAGAGAAGGGCAGAACUAGAAAAGAUGGGACUUGAGAUGAAACAAAGAGAGAGACAGAAACCAAGAGAAAGAAACCGGGAAGACAAGCAAAGAGACAGGUAGAAAUAGACGGAGAAUUCCUUCUGCUUCCUCCUGGCAGAUUGCACUUGGGGGGCAACCUGGCUGUCCCAGGCCACCAGGGAAGCCCACAUGGCCUGUUGGGUUGGCUUUGUCCCGAAUUGCCUGGAAGUUCAUCUUCUGUCUAGCCUUAGAUCUUGUUGCUAAAUAAUUUGGGGGACAAGGACGUGAGAAUCCCCUCAGCCAGGAGUCAGUCUAUAUGCAGUGGCAGGGGUCUAGACAGAGUCCCCAGAGCCAGGGGUGUUGGGAGAAGCCCCGAGAGGCAGCCCCUCUCCACUCUGAACCCGGGACUCAUUAGGCAAGCCAGUUUCAGCCAAGGUCGGGGGCCCUCGUGUGGCACCCCCACAGAAUAGCAGCGGUGAUACUGAACCCUAGAGCCCCUGACUGUGGGCUCCACCCAGGCAAGAGCCAAUGGAACUGGAGGUAGGGGGUGCAUGGGGAGGAGUGGACAUCUUCACUUCCCUAAAGCAGUGUGUAGGUCAACACGCACGCCACUGCAUGAUGUGUUGCUGUUUAGGUCAGAGUAUAUAUGCAUGCCAUUAUGCGCAUGCGUGUGUAUAGUAUGCAUCUAUAGAAUAGACAUUAUCUAUUUCUGUAUAUGUGAAGGGGCCAUUGUGUGUAUAUAUGUGUGUGCUAUUAUGUGUCUAUGAG
rnacentral:lncRNA from 1 species